rnacentral:tRNA from 1 species
GGCUUGAUUGCUCAACUGGUAGAGCACUGCACCGCUAUUGCAGAUGUCAAGGGUUUGAUUCCCCUUCAAGCCU